rnacentral:rRNA from 1 species
UACGUAGGGUGCAAGCGUUGUUCGGAAUUACUGGGCGUAAAGCGCACGUAGGCGGCUUUGUAAGUUAGAGGUGAAAGCCCGGGGCUCAACUCCGGAAUUGCCUUUAAGACUGCAUCGCUAGAAUUGUGGAGAGGUAAGUGGAAUUCCGAGUGUAGAGGUGAAAUUCGUAGAUAUUCGGAAGAACACCAGUGGCGAAGGCGACUUACUGGACACAUAUUGACGCUGAGGUGCGAAAGCGUGGGAGCAACAGG